GACGAACGCUGGCGGCGUGCCUAAUACAUGCAAGUCGAACGCAGUGGGGACGGGUGAGUAACCCGUGGGUAACCUCCCAUCAGAGGGGAUAACAAUUGGAAACAGGUGCUAAACCGAUACUGAUGGAUGGACCCGCGUGGCAUUAGCGAGUUGGGGAGGUACCGGAUCAACAAGGCCACGAUGCAUAGCCGACCUGAGAGGGGGAUCGGCCACACUGUGACUGAGACACGGCCCAGACUCCUACGGGAGGCAGCAGUAGGGAAUCUUCGGCAAUGGACGAAAGUCUGACCGAGCAACGCCGCGUGAGUGAAGAAGGUUUUCGGAUCGUAAAACUCUGUUGUUAGAGAAGCGGUAUCUAACCAGAAAGCCACGGCUAACUACGUGCCAGCCGCCGCGGUAAUUC
rnacentral:rRNA from 1 species